GACGAACGCUGGCGGCGUGCCUAACACAUGCAAGUCGAACGAAGCAUAGCAAUAUGCUUAGUGGCGGACGGGUGAGUAACGCGUGAACAAUCUGCCCUGUACAAAGGAAUAGCCUCGGGAAACCGGGAUUAAAACCGUAUGACACUUUAGUAUCGCAUGAUAAGAAAGUCAAAUCGAAUAGAGGUAUGGGAUGAGUUCGCGUCUGAUUAGCUGGUUGGCGGGGUAACGCCCACCAAGGCGACGAUCAGUAGCCGGCCUGAGAGGGUGAACGGCCACACUGGAACUGAGACACGGUCCAGACUCCUACGGGAGGCAGCAGUGGGGAAUAUUGCACAAUGGAGGGAACUCUGAUGCAGCGACGCCGCGUGAGUGAAGAAGGUCUUCGGAUCGUAAAACUCUGUCCUUGGUGAAGAAAGGACGGUAGCCAAGGAGGAAGCCCCGGUAACUACGUGCCAGCAGCCGCGGUAAACGUAGCGUG
rnacentral:rRNA from 1 species